GAGAGCCUCUGGUUAUAGUUUAUGUAUUUGCAACUAGGAAGGGGAAAUCAGCUUUAAACAUAGUGACAGACUAUGACAGAAGGCCUUUUUGAGAACUGUUUGAAAGGAAUGUUAGCUUUGUAGCUAGUGCCCUGCAGGUGGUAGUUUUGAUACUGGACUUGAGUAGAAAGUUAUAGGAUAAGAAAGCUCGUCCUUAUUAUUUCACUUGAUUUUCCUCUUGAGACUGAGGGAGGUGGUGGAGGGGAGCAUGCCUGCAUGUUGUUUCAGCGCAGUAUUUUAGAGUGUUCUGUGGUUCAGUUUUUCCUUUCACUGUUGGCAUUGACUAGUGGGUGAGGGUUUAUAUUAUCCUUUACUGUUUUGCUGAAACUUGAAAUUACAGGAAUUUAUUAGAUAUAUUAAUCUAAAACUCCAAAAAUCAUUUAACUUAUAAAGUUUAUUUUCCUUA
rnacentral:lncRNA from 1 species